AUUGAACGCUGGCGGCAUGCCUUACACAUGCAAGUCGAACGGCAGCAUGAUCUAGCUUGCUAGAUUGAUGGCGAGUGGCGAACGGGUGAGUAAUACAUCGGAACGUGCCCUGUAGUGGGGGAUAACUAGUCGAAAGAUUAGCUAAUACCGCAUACGACCUGAGGGUGAAAGUGGGGGACCGCAAGGCCUCAUGCUAUAGGAGCGGCCGAUGUCUGAUUAGCUAGUUGGUGGGGUAAAGGCCCACCAAGGCGACGAUCAGUAGCUGGUCUGAGAGGACGAUCAGCCACACUGGGACUGAGACACGGCCCAGACUCCUACGGGAGGCAGCAGUGGGAAUUUUGGACAAUGGGCGAAAGCCUGAUCCAGCAAUGCCGCGUGUGUGAAGAAGGCC
rnacentral:rRNA from 1 species